rnacentral:rRNA from 1 species
UACGUAGGGGGCUAGCGUUGCCCGGAAUCAUUGGGCGUAAAGCGCGUGUAGGCGGCCCGGUAAGUCCGCUGUGAAAGUCGGGGGCUCAACCCUCGGAUGCCGGUGGAUACUGUCGGGCUCGAGUACGGAAGAGGCGAGUGGAAUUCCUGGUGUAGCGGUGAAAUGCGCAGAUAUCAGGAGGAACACCGGUGGCGAAGGCGGGACUCUGGGCCGAUACUGACGCUGAGGAGCGAAAGCGUGGGGAGCAAACAGG